UACGUAGGUGGCAAGCGUUAUCCGGAUUUACUGGGUGUAAAGGGCGUGUAGGCGGGUCUGCAAGUCAGAUGUGAAAUCUCCGGGCUUAACUCGGAAGUGUCAUCUGAAACUACGGAUCUUGAGUACUGGAGAGGAUAGUGGAAUUCCUAGUGUAGCGGUAAAAUGCGUAGAUAUUAGGAGGAACACCAGUGGCGAAGGCGGCUAUCUGGACAGUAACUGACGCUGAGGCGCGAAAGCGUGGGGAGCAAACAGGAUUAGAUACCCGGGUAGU
rnacentral:rRNA from 1 species